GACGAAGGGGGCUAGCGUUGUUCGGAAUUACUGGGCGUAAAGCGAGUGUAGGUGGUUGCUCCAGUCAGGCGUGAAAGCCUUGAGCUCAACUCAAGAAAUGCGCUUGAUACUGGGCAGCUAGAGGACCGGAGAGGAUAGUGGAAUUCCCAGUGUAGUGGUGAAAUACGUAGAGAUUGGGAAGAACACCAGUGGCGAAGGCGGCCAACUGGACGAACACUGACGCUGAGACACGAAAGCGUGGGGAGCAAACAGG
rnacentral:rRNA from 1 species